rnacentral:rRNA from 1 species
UACGUAGGGGGCAAGCGUUGUCCGGAAUCACUGGGCGUAAAGGGCGCGUAGGCGGCGCGGGCAGUCAACGGUGAAAGCUUGGGGCUCAACCCCGAGUCGGCCGUCGAUACUCCCGGGCUGGAGCACUGUAGAGGCAGGUGGAAUUCCGGGUGUAGCGGUGGAAUGCGUAGAGAUCCGGAAGAACACCGGUGGCGAAGGCGGCCUGCUGGGCAGUAGCUGACGCUGAGGCGCGACAGCGUGGGGAGCAAACAGG